AUUGCACGCUUGCGGCAGGCCUAACACAUGCAAGUCGAACGAGUGGCGGACGGGUGAGUACUGUCUGGGAAACUGCCUGAUGGAGGGGGAUAACUACUGGAAAAGGUAGCUAAUACCGCCUACCAUCGGAUGUGCCCAUAUGGGAUUAGCUAGUAGGUGGGGUAACGGCUCACCUAGGCGACGAUCCCUAGCUGGUCUGAGAGGAUGAACAGCCACACUGGAACUGUGACACGGUACAGACUCCUACGGGAGGCAGCAGGGGGGAAUAUUGCACAAUGUGCGCAAGCCUGAUGCAGCCAUGCCGCGUGUAUGAAGAAGGCCUUCGGGUUGUAAAGUACUUUCAGCGGGGAGGCGUUACCCGCAGAAGAAGCACCGGCUAACUCCGUGCCAGCCGCCGCGGUAAUUC
rnacentral:rRNA from 1 species